AUACCCACUGGAGGCUGAUCAUGUCUUCAGUGACCAACACCAAAGGGUAGAAUAUGUUCUCUAUAAAACCCAAAGCAGACUUUGUGUCUUUUUUGGAUCCUGUCUAGAGAUACAAAA
ensembl:snoRNA